rnacentral:rRNA from 1 species
UACGUAGGGUGCAAGCGUUGUCCGGAAUUAUUGGGCGUAAAGGGCUCGUAGGCGGUCCGUCACGUCGGGAGUGAAAUCCUGGGGCUUAACCCCAGAACUGCUUCCGAUACGGGCAGACUAGAGGUAGGUAGGGGAGAGUGGAAUUCCUGGUGUAGCGGUGGAAUGCGCAGAUAUCAGGAGGAACACCAGUGGCGAAGGCGGUUCUCUGGGCCUUACCUGACGCUGAGGAGCGAAAGCGUGGGGAGCAAACAGG